rnacentral:ncRNA from 1 species
GGAGUGGAGCCUGCGGCUUAAUUUGACUCAACACGGGAAACCUCACCCGGCCCGGACACGGAAAGGAUUGACAGAUUGAUAGCUCUUUCUCGAUUCUGUGGGUGGUGGUGCAUGGCCGUUCUUAGUUGGUGGAGCGAUUUGUCUGGUUAAUUCCGAUAACGAACGAGACUCCGGCAUGCUAACUAGUUAUGCGGCCCCGAGCGGUCGGCGUCCAACUUCUUAGAGGGACAAGUGGCGUUCAGCCACACGAGAUUGAGCAAUAACAGGUCUGUGAUGCCCUUAGAUGUCCGGGGCUGCACGCGCGCCACACUGAGCGGAUCAGCGUGUGUCUACCCUUCGCCGAGAGGCGUGGGUAACCCGCUGAACCCCACUCGUGAUAGGGAUUGGGGAUUGCAAUUAUUUCCCAUGAACGAGGAAUCCC